UUAGGUGCAGCGUCGUGCGUUCAACGAUGGGGGUAGAGCACUGAAUGGGCUAGGGGUCCUACAAGACUACCGACCCCAAUCAAACUCCGAAUACCAUCGUUCCAGAGCACGGCAGUGAGACCUCGGGGGAUGAGCUUCGAGGUCGAGAGGGAAACAGCCCAGACCGCCGGCUAAGGUCCCAAAAUCUGAACUAAGUGGUAAACGAUGUGAGAUUGCGAAGACAGCCAGGAGGUUGGCUUGGAAGCAGCCAUCCUUGAAAGAGUGCGUAACAGCUCACUGGUCGAGUGAUCUUGCGCGGACAAUGUAACGGGGCUCAAGUUCAGUACCGAAGCCGCGGAUGCGACUCUUUGAGUCGUGUGGUAGCGGAGCGUCGAGCGUGCAGCGAAGCGGCGGGACAACCCAGCCGUGGAGCGCGUUCGAGUGCGAAUGUUGGCAUGAGUAGCGAAUGAGGGGUGAGAACCCCCUCCGCCGUAUGUCCAAGGGUUCCUGGGCGAGGCCAAUCCUCCCAGGGUGAGUCGGGAGCUAAGGCGAGGCCGAGAGGCGUAGUCGAUGCACAACUGGUUGAUAUUCCAGUACCACCAUGUUCGCGUCCGUCCCAAUACUCUGUUGCUAAGGGGCUGUGUUGACUUCGGUCAACGCGAACCGACCCACAUUGUUGCGGGAAGCUGUAGGGGGACGCAGGAAGGUAGAUGAACCCGGUGAAUGGUAGAACCGGGGUAAGCGUGUAGGAGGAGGACCAGGUAAAUCCGGGCCUCAUAAACUCUGAGACGUGAUACCGAGCCGCUUCAGGCGAAGUCAUUGAUCCUAUGCUGCCUGGAAAAGCCCAGCAGCGAGUUGACAUGGUGCCCGUACCCCAAACCAACACAGGUGGACAGGUAGAGCAUACCAAGGCGAGUGGGAUAACUAUGGUUAAGGAACUCGGCAAAUUGCCUCCGUAACUUCGGGAGAAGGAGGACCCCAGUAGCGUGAUGAGACUUGCUCUCUGAGCGUGAAGGGGUGGCACAAAAUUGAGGGAAGCGACUGUUUACCAAAAACACAGCAGCGUGCUAAGCCGUAAGGCGCUGUAUACGCCGUGACUCCUGCCCGGUGCUGGAAGGUUACGGGGAUGGGUUAGUCCUUCGGGACGAAGCUCUGAACCUAAGCCCCAGUAAACGGCGGCCGUAACUAUAACGGUCCUAAGGUAGCGAAAUUCCUUGUCGGGUAAGUUCCGACCUGCACGAAUGGAGUAACGACUUCCCUACUGUCUCAACCAUAGACCCAGCGAAAUUGAAGUACGAGUAAAGAUGCUCGUUAGUUGCAGAAGGACGGAAAGACCCCGUGGACCUUUACUAUAACUUGAUGUUGUGUUUUGUCAUU
rnacentral:rRNA from 1 species